rnacentral:rRNA from 1 species
UACGUAGGGGGCCAGCGUUGCUCGGAACUACUGGGCGUAAAGGGUUCGUAGGCGGUGUGGCAAGUCGGAAGUGAAAUCUCCAGGCUCAACUUGGAGGCUGCUCCCGAAACUGCCACGCUAGAGUGCGGGAGAGGCCAGUGGAAUUGCAGGUGUAGCGGUGAAAUGCGUAGAUAUCUGCAGGAACACCCGUGGCGAAGGCGGCUGGCUGGACCGCAACUGACGCUGAGGAACGAAAGCUAGGGGAGCAAACAGG